rnacentral:rRNA from 1 species
GACGUAGGGCGCGAGCGUUGUCCGGAUUUAUUGGGCGUAAAGAGCUCGUAGGCGGCUUGUCACGUCGAUUGUGAAAGCCCGAGGCUUAACCUCGGGUCUGCAGUCGAUACGGGCUAGCUAGAGUGUGGUAGGGGAGAUCGGAAUUCCUGGUGUAGCGGUGAAAUGCGCAGAUAUCAGGAGGAACACCGGUGGCGAAGGCGGAUCUCUGGGCCAUUACUGACGCUGAGGUGCGAAAGCGUGGGGAGCGAACAGG